rnacentral:misc_RNA from 1 species
CAACCAUCAAGCCCCAGGGCUUGUGUUGGGGACCUGCGGCUGCCGCAGGCCCCGAAAAACAGUGGCGGGCUCGCUGUCACCCCGAGCGUAGUAGUUUACACCUCGGCCAGGCCGAGCCGCGGGUUCCCGGACGUUAAACCCCCCAUACCACACA